CAACACAACCUCUGUGAAUCAUAGUAUACGCUAAUUUUGUUGUGUCCUACUUCAGUACUUACAACGUAUUUCCCAAUCCAAAAACCCAUCCCAAACAAAGUCUUCUAUGGAAGCACUCUCCUUCAUCUCCGAUUCUUCUUCGCUCCUUUUUCGCACUCCUUCUACUUCCUCUGCUGUGAGAACCCUUCCACUUUCUUUCUUCAAAAUCACCCAAAACUCUCACUCCCACCUUCUCCCUCUUCGUGUUUCAAACACCGAUGGCGAUGAAACCACCAGUGAUUUCGCUUUAGCUUCUCAGCCUCAGGAAAACUUGAGCCAUUCUGAGGCUGAGAGUUCUGAAGACGAUCAAGAUGCGCCACUACAAAUGAACAUGUCAUGGACAACUGUUUCAAGCCCAGGAGGAGGUGGAAGUGCAUCGGGUGGUGGCACCAGGGCUGGACUUUUCAGAACUCCUAUUUCUGGUGGUGUGCAGAGUGCCACAUCGGCUCACGGUUUACCUAGACCUGCUUUAGCAGUUCGUAACCUGAUGGAGCAGGCAAGAUUUGCUCACUUGUGCACUGUAAUGUCUCGUAUGCACCACCGACGAGAAGGAUAUCCAUUUGGUUCUCUAGUUGAUUUUGCACCAGAUUCGAUGGGUCAUCCUAUAUUUUCAUUUUCUCCUCUUGCAAUUCACACAAGGAAUUUGUUGGCUGACCCAAGAUGCACACUGGUUGUUCAGAUACCUGGAUGGAGUGGUUUGUCCAAUGCAAGGGUAACUAUUUUUGGGGAUGUCUAUCCACUUCCGGAAGAUCAACAGGAAUGGGCUCAUAAGCAGUACAUUGCGAAACAUCAACAGGGUCCUUCUCAACAGUGGGGAAACUUCUACUAUUUUAGGAUGGAGAGUAUAAGUGACAUAUAUUUCAUUGGAGGCUUUGGUACUGUUGCUUGGGUGGAUGUAAAGGAAUAUGAAAAACUUCAACCGGAUAAGAUUGCAGUCGAUGGUGGUGAACAGUAUUUAAAGAAUGCUUCUCUCUUCUCCCACUUAAAAGAAAUUCAUGUGAUUGGUUGGGAUGGGGCAUUCUACUUUUUUCAGCAUAGUAGCUGGAGAUGGUCCAGAUGGGUGGAUAAUACAUGUGGCUCAUUCAAGGUCAUGGCUGGGGUUGGUUUUGUGGGGUUCUUAGUUGACCCUAGUGCUAUCCCUUGGUCAAUAAAGCUACCUAAAAGGAUAAAUUAAUGUCAACCCCCCCCGGGAACUCAAUGCUAUCUUCUCAAAGCCCCUUAAGAAACUUCUAUCUAAUGAGACUGAGGUGGAUGAUGCUGCACUCAUUUCCAUAGACAGCAAAGGGACUGAUAUCAGGGUCCGUCAAGGUGCCCAGUUCAACAUUCAGAGGAUAUCAUUUGAUGAAGGGCAGAGUGUAGAAACUUUGGAAGAAGCUAAAGCUGCUCUUAGGAAAUUAAUACACAAAGGAAAAGUGUACAAUUUGCAGAAAUAAGAUGUUGGAUGCCCUCUCUCCCUCUGGAACCCAACCAGUUUUCUAAUCUGACUUUUUCUGGAAUGGUUAAUUUUAUAGUUUUUGCCUGGUUGACAUGCACCAGAAAGUGUAUUAUAUCAAGUCUGAUGGUUAGAGGGCCUUUUGUGGGCUCUAUCAGCAUAGUCAAACUAGAAAUAAUAUAUCAGAACUCAGGUGAAAUAACAGUAUGCUUUUUUUCCCUAAAGAAGUUCCUUCCAUGCUGUUGUAUAUGCUGAUAAUAAACCAGUCAUCUCAGGUUGUUAAUUCAAGAUAAGACAAGUAGUUCA